rnacentral:tRNA from 1 species
AUUUUAAUAGCUUAUUUAGAGCAUAAUACUGAAGAUAUUGGGGAGAUAUACUUAUCUUAAAAUA